UACGUAGGUGGCAAGCGUUGUCCGGAUUUACUGGGCGUAAAGAGCGCGCAGGCGGUCGUUCAAGUCGAGUGUGAAAGCCCCCGGCUCAACUGGGGAGGGUCACUCGAUACUGAUCGACUCGAAGGCAGAAGAGGGAAGCGGAAUUCCCGGUGUAGUGGUGAAAUGCGUAGAUAUCGGGAGGAACACCCGUGGCGAAGGCGGCUCUCUGGGACGGUACUGACGCGUGAGACGCGAAAGCGUGGGGAGCGAACGAGGA
rnacentral:rRNA from 1 species